rnacentral:rRNA from 1 species
GUCGAGGAUCAUUCGCAAUGGGCGAAAGCCUGACGAUGCGACGCUGCGUGGAGGAUGAAGGCCCUCGGGUCGUAAACUCCUGUCAUGGGGGGCGAGGCGGAGGCGGUUAACGGCCGCCCGAGUUGACGGUACCCCAAGAGGAAGCCACGGCUAACUCUGUGCCAGCAGCCGCGGUAAUACAGAGGUGGCGAGCGUUGUUCGGAUUCCUUGGCGGAAAGGGCGCGUAGGCGGCCGCGUGGGUGGGGUGUGGAAUCUCCGGGCUCAACCCGGAAAGUGCGCUCCAAACGGCGCGGCUCGAGUGCGGGAGGGGAGAUCGGAAUGCAGGGUGUAGCGGUGAAAUGCGUUGAUAUCCUGCAGAACACCGGUGGCGAAGGCGGAUCUCUGGAACGCAACUGACGCUGAGGCGCGAAAGCAGGGGGAGCAAACAGGAUUAGAAACCCUUGUAGUCC